rnacentral:rRNA from 1 species
CGAUCUCCGUAGGUGACCUGCGGAGGGAUCAUUACACAAAUAUGAAGGCGGGCUGGAACCUCUCGGGGUUACAGCCUUGCUGAAUUAUUCACCCUUGUCUUUUGCGUACUUCUUGUUUCCUUGGUGGGUUCGCCCACCACUAGGACAAACAUAAACCUUUUGUAAUUGCAAUCAGCGUCAGUAACAAAUUAAUAAUUACAACUUUCAACAACGGAUCUCUUGGUUCUGGCAUCGAUGAAGAACGCAGCGAAAUGCGAUAAGUAGUGUGAAUUGCAGAAUUCAGUGAAUCAUCGAAUCUUUGAACGCACAUUGCGCCCUUUGGUAUUCCAAAGGGCAUGCCUGUUCGAGCGUCAUUUGUACCCUCAAGCUUUGCUUGGUGUUGGGCGUCUUGUCUCUAGCUUUGCUGGAGACUCGCCUUAAAGUAAUUGGCAGCCGGCCUACUGGUUUCGGAGCGCAGCACAAGUCGCACUCUCUAUCAGCAAAGGUCUAGCAUCCAUUAAGCCUUUUUUUCAACUUUUGACCUCGGAUCAGGUAGGGAUACCCGCUGAACUUAA